GUCCUGCAGCUGCCAUCUUGAGUGUGGCUGAAGAAGCUUGCUCGCCAACUGCUUCUGCGGGAUACCUUCCUUACUAAGUAAUGGAAGCCCUCGACGCUGCUGGAUAAUAGGUACCCCAUUUUCUUCAUGCAGUCAUCUGUCGAUGGACCCUGGGGUUGCUUCCAUCUCGUGGCUCUAGUGAAUAACACUGCUCUGAACAUGCCUGUACAGAUGUCUCUUCAAGACCCUGCUUUCAGCUCUUCGGGGUACCUACCCAGAAGUAGAACUGCUGGGUUAUAUGUGAUACAUCUUAAAAAGUGACCCAGGUCAGUCUGCAGAGAUCCAACUCACUUUAAAAAAAAACUGUUUUGGAGUAUAAUCUAUGUCCAGAAAAGUGCAUAAAUCAUAAGUGAACAACAGCUGGAUUAAAUUCCAGAAACUAACCACACCUGAUCAUCAGAGGUCAGCUCAAGAGAAGAACAUGACCUUUCCUCAGAGUGCCCCCGAGGGUAACGACUAACUGGACUUCUACCAACAUGGAUUACUUUUGCCUGGUUUUGAAUUUUAUAUAAAUGAAAUCACACCGUA